rnacentral:rRNA from 1 species
CCUACGGGUGGCAGCAGUGGGGAAUAUUGGACAAUGGGGGGAACCCUGAUCCAGCCAUGCCGCGUGUGUGAAGAAGGCCCUCGGGUUGUAAAGCACUUUCAGUGAGGAAGAACGCCUGGUGGUUAAUACCCAUCAGGAAAGACAUCACUCACAGAAGAAGCACCGGCUAACUCCGUGCCAGCAGCCGCGGUAAUACGGAGGGUGCGAGCGUUAAUCGGAAUUACUGGGCGUAAAGCGCGCGUAGGUGGCUUGAUAAGCCGGUUGUGAAAGCCCCGGGCUCAACCUGGGAACGGCAUCCGGAACUGUCAAGCUAGAGUGCAGGAGAGGAAGGUAGAAUUCCCGGUGUAGCGGUGAAAUGCGUAGAGGUCGGGAGGAAUACCAGUGGCGAAGGCGGCCUUCUGGACUGACACUGACACUGAGGUGCGAAAGCGUGGGUAGCAAACAGGAUUAGAUACCCCGGUAGUC